GACGAACGCUGGCGGCGUGCCUAAUACAUGCAAGUCGAACGAGAAAUUCUUACACCGGAUGCUUGCAUCCACCGUAAGAUUUCGAGUGGCGGACGGGUGAGUAACACGUGGGUAACCUGCCUAUCAGAGGGGGGAUAACACUUGGAAACAGGUGCUAAUACCGCAUAACAAUAUCAAUCGCAUGAUAGAUAUUUGAAAGGCGCUUAUGGUGUCACUGAUAGAUGGACCCGCGGUGCAUUAGCUAGUCGGUGGGGUAACGGCCUACCGAGGCGAUGAUGCAUAGCCGACCUGAGAGGGUGAUCGGCCACAUUGGGACUGAGACACGGCCCAAACUCCUACGGGAGGCAGCAGUAGGGAAUCUUCGGCAAUGGACGCAAGUCUGACCGAGCAACGCCGCGUGAGUGAAGAAGGUUUUCGGAUCGUAAAGCUCUGUUGUUAGAGAAGAACAAGUAAGAUAGUAACUGAUCUUGCCUUGACGGUAUCUAACCAGAAAGCCACGGCUAACUACGUGCCAGCCGCCGCGGUAAAAC
rnacentral:rRNA from 1 species